UGAGAGUUUGAUCCUGGCUCAGGAUGAACGCUGGCGGCGUGCCUAAUACAUGCAAGUCGAACGCUUUGUGGUUCAACUGAUUUGAAGAGCUUGCUCAGAUAUGACGAUGGACAUUGCAAAGAGUGGCGAACGGGUGAGUAACACGUGGGAAACCUACCUCUUAGCAGGGGAUAACAUUUGGAAACAGAUGCUAAUACCGUAUAACAAUGACAACCGCAUGGUUGUUAUUUAAAAGAUGGUUCUGCUAUCACUAAGAGAUGGUCCCGCGGUGCAUUAGCUAGUUGGUAAGGUAAUGGCUUACCAAGGCGAUGAUGCAUAGCCGAGUUGAGAGACUGAUCGGCCACAAUGGGACUGAGACACGGCCCAUACUCCUACGGGAGGCAGCAGUAGGGAAUCUUCCACAAUGGGCGAAAGCCUGAUGGAGCAACGCCGCGUGUGUGAUGAAGGGUUUCGGCUCGUAAAACACUGUUGUAAGAGAAGAAUGACAUUGAGAGUAACUGUUCAAUGUGUGACGGUAUCUUACCAGAAAGGAACGGCUAAAUACGUGCCAGCAGCCGCGGUAAUACGUAUGUUCCAAGCGUUAUCCGGAUUUAUUGGGCGUAAAGCGAGCGCAGACGGUUAUUUAAGUCUGAAGUGAAAGCCCUCAGCUCAACUGAGGAAUUGCUUUGGAAACUGGAUGACUUGAGUGCAGUAGAGGAAAGUGGAACUCCAUGUGUAGCGGUGAAAUGCGUAGAUAUAUGGAAGAACACCAGUGGCGAAGGCGGCUUUCUGGACUGUAACUGACGUUGAGGCUCGAAAGUGUGGGUAGCAAACAGGAUUAGAUACCCUGGUAGUCCACACCGUAAACGAUGAGUGCUAGGUGUUUGAGGGUUUCCGCCCUUAAGUGCCGCAGCUAACGCAUUAAGCACUCCGCCUGGGGAGUACGACCGCAAGGUUGAAACUCAAAGGAAUUGACGGGGACCCGCACAAGCGGUGGAGCAUGUGGUUUAAUUCGAAGCAACGCGAAGAACCUUACCAGGUCUUGACAUCCCUUGACAACUCCAGAGAUGGAGCGUUCCCUUCGGGGACAAGGUGACAGGUGGUGCAUGGUUGUCGUCAGCUCGUGUCGUGAGAUGUUGGGUUAAGUCCCGCAACGAGCGCAACCCUUAUUACUAGUUGCCAGCAUUUAGUUGGGCACUCUAGUGAGACUGCCGGUGACAAACCGGAGGAAGGUGGGGAUGACGUCAAAUCAUCAUGCCCCUUAUGACCUGGGCUACACACGUGCUACAAUGGCGUAUACAACGAGUUGCCAACCCGCGAGGGUGAGCUAAUCUCUUAAAGUACGUCUCAGUUCGGAUUGUAGGCUGCAACUCGCCUACAUGAAGUCGGAAUCGCUAGUAAUCGCGGAUCAGCACGCCGCGGUGAAUACGUUCCCGGGUCUUGUACACACCGCCCGUCACACCAUGAGAGUUUGUAACACCCAAAGCCGGUGGGGUAACCUUCGGGAGCCAGCCGUCUAAGGUGGGACAGAUGAUUAGGGUGAAGUCGUAACAAGGUAGCCGUAGGAGAACCUGCGGCUGGAUCACCUCCUUUCUAAGGAA
rnacentral:rRNA from 1 species